AUCUGGGGUGAGUCUGCACAUUCCUCUAAUCACCUUAAGUCAUUGCAGGUGGGCGGCUCUGGAGAGCGGCCAGCUGCAGUGAGUUUCCCUCAUCGGCUACAUGGGUUUAUAAGGAGCUGGAGAUCACUUCACCUCGCCGGAAGAUUACUCACCUUGGGAAUUCUCACCACGAACCUUUCCUGCAAUAACCUGGUUUUUCAUCUCCAAGCCUGAUCUCCCUCCUCACCAGAACCGACCCGCUCUCCCACCGCUCACCUUCCUUGGAUUUUGGAUUCAUGCUGAAGUUGCUCACCCCAGUCCUGGCUACCCUCCCAAGCUCUGGAUCUCAGCCCCACAACCCAGCCCGGAGCUCUGCUCAGCCUCACCGCCACGUCUGGCGGUGCACCUUUAGUUCUACUUAAAAUAAAACAUUUAUUUUUCCUACCACGUCUCCUAGUGUGAAUUCUGCAUGUCUUGGGUCAGGAAACUUCCCUCGGUCAUGACAGAAUCAGAAAUGUUUUAUUGUCCCAAAAACUGGGAAAUAUGACAUUUGUAAGUGGAUACUGAUGACAUUAUUUCCUAUGAAAGUGUUUCCUAUGUACUUAUCUGUUUUAUUUAUCUACUUUAAAGAGGAUUAAGACUUUCCUUGAGGAACACCAUGACACAGGAUGGGCUGAAUGCUCUUGCCAUGCUCUCCAUGGAAAAAAAAAGCUUGUCACAAACAUUCCUGACUUCAAUAAAAAGCUAAUCGAGAGCUUUGCCACUCAGAAGGACAGAAGGGCAAAAUUUCUGUACAAAUGAGGUAUCACACACACACACAAAUGCAUCCACUUGAUCUUUGUAUAAAGUUGACCUUGGCACAACACUCCAGAAAUAUUUAACAGUGUAAAUUUCUGGCAUUUUGUCUAAGUAGUGUUUACUACCAUUACUGUAACAGUGACCUGCUCAUAAUUUUUCGU